rnacentral:rRNA from 1 species
GACGAACGCUGGCGGCGUGCUUAACACAUGCAAGUCGAACGGAAAGGCCCUGCUUUUGUGGGGUGCUCGAGUGGCGAACGGGUGAGUAACACGUGAGUAACCUGCCCUUGACUUUGGGAUAACUUCAGGAAACUGGGGCUAAUACCGGAUAGGAGCUCCUGCUGCAUGGUGGGGGUUGGAAAGUUUCGGCGGUUGGGGAUGGACUCGCGGCUUAUCAGCUUGUUGGUGGGGUAGUGGCUUACCAAGGCUUUGACGGGUAGCCGGCCUGAGAGGGUGACCGGCCACAUUAGGACUGAGAUACGGCCCAGACUCCUACGGGAGGCAGCAGUGGGGAAUAUUGCACAAUGGGCGGAAGCCUGAUGCAGCAACGCCGCGUGCGGGAUGGCGGCCUUCGGGUUGUAAACCGCUUUCGCCUGUGACGAAGCGUGAGUGACGGUAAUGGGUAAAGAAGCACCGGCUAACUACGUG